rnacentral:tRNA from 1 species
GCCCCCAUAGCUUAACGGUAAAGCAGUGGCCUCUUAAGCCAUUGAUCCGGGUUCGAUUCCUGGUGGGGGCAC